rnacentral:rRNA from 1 species
GGUGAACCUGCGGAAGGAUCAUUACCUAGAGUUGUAGGCUUUGCCUGCUAUCUCUUACCCAUGUCUUUUGAGUACCUUACGUUUCCUCGGUGGGUUCGCCCACCGAUUGGACAAACUUAAACCCUUUGCAGUUGAAAUCAGCGUCUGAAAAAACUUAAUAGUUACAACUUUCAACAACGGAUCUCUUGGUUCUGGCAUCGAUGAAGAACGCAGCGAAAUGCGAUAAGUAGUGUGAAUUGCAGAAUUCAGUGAAUCAUCGAAUCUUUGAACGCACAUUGCGCCCCUUGGUAUUCCAUGGGGCAUGCCUGUUCGAGCGUCAUUUGUACCUUCAAGCUCUGCUUGGUGUUGGGUGUUUGUCUCCUGUAGACUCGCCUUAAAACAAUUGGCAGCCGGCGUAUUGAUUUCGGAGCGCAGUACAUCUCGCGCUUUGCACUCAUAACGACGACAUCCAAAAGUACAUUUUUACACGCUUGACCUCGGAUCAGGUAGGGAUACCCGCUGAACUUAAG